CUCGCUUCUCAGCCUUUUGGCUAUGAUCAAGUAGUAUCUGUUCUUAUCAGUUUAGUAUCUGAUAUGUCCCUGAUCUGGGGACCAUAUAUUAAAUUGAUUUUUGGAACAGGGAGAUGGAAUAGGGGCUUGCUCCGUCCACUCCAUGCAUUGACCUGGUAUUGCAGUGCCUCUGGGAAUGGUACACUUCCC